CUAUACAUGCAAGUCGAACGCGUUGGCCCAAUUGAUUGAUGGUGCUUGCACCUGAUUGAUUUUGGUCGCCAACGAGUGGCGGACGGGUGAGUAACACGUAGGUAACCUGCCCAGAAGCGGGGGACAACAUUUGGAAACAGAUGCUAAUACCGCAUAACAGCGUUGUUCGCAUGAACAACGCUUAAAAGAUGGCUUCUCGCUAUCACUUCUGGAUGGACCUGCGGUGCAUUAGCUUGUUGGUGGGGUAACGGCCUACCAAGGCGAUGAUGCAUAGCCGAGUUGAGAGACUGAUCGGCCACAAUGGGACUGAGACACGGCCCAUACUCCUACGGGAGGCAGCAGUAGGGAAUCUUCCACAAUGGGCGCAAGCCUGAUGGAGCAACACCGCGUGAGUGAAGAAGGGUUUCGGCUCGUAAAGCUCUGUUGUUAAAGAAGAACACGUAUGAGAGUAACUGUUCAUACGUUGACGGUAUUUAACCAGAAAGUCACGGCUAACUACGUGCCAGCAGCCGCGGUAAUACGUAGGUGGCAAGCGUUAUCCGGAUUUAUUGGGCGUAAAGAGAGUGCAGGCGGUUUUCUAAGUCUGAUGUGAAAGCCUUCGGCUUAACCGGAGAAGUGCAUCGGAAACUGGAUAACUUGAGUGCAGAAGAGGGUAGUGGAACUCCAUGUGUAGCGGUGGAAUGCGUAGAUAUAUGGAAGAACACCAGUGGCGAAGGCGGCUACCUGGUCUGCAACUGACGCUGAGACUCGAAAGCAUGGGUAGCGAACAGGAUUAGAUACCCUGGUAGUCCAUGCCGUAAACGAUGAGUGCUAGGUGUUGGAGGGUUUCCGCCCUUCAGUGCCGGAGCUAACGCAUUAAGCACUCCGCCUGGGGAGUACGACCGCAAGGUUGAAACUCAAAGGAAUUGACGGGGGCCCGCACAAGCGGUGGAGCAUGUGGUUUAAUUCGAAGCUACGCGAAGAACCUUACCAGGUCUUGACAUCUUGCGCCAACCCUAGAGAUAGGGCGUUUCCUUCGGGAACGCAAUGACAGGUGGUGCAUGGUCGUCGUCAGCUCGUGUCGUGAGAUGUUGGGUUAAGUCCCGCAACGAGCGCAACCCUUGUUACUAGUUGCCAGCAUUAAGUUGGGCACUCUAGUGAGACUGCCGGUGACAAACCGGAGGAAGGUGGGGACGACGUCAGAUCAUCAUGCCCCUUAUGACCUGGGCUACACACGUGCUACAAUGGACGGUACAACGAGUCGCGAACUCGCGAGGGCAAGCAAAUCUCUUAAAACCGUUCUCAGUUCGGACUGCAGGCUGCAACUCGCCUGCACGAAGUCGGAAUCGCUAGUAAUCGCGGAUCAGCAUGCCGCGGUGAAUACGUUCCCGGGCCUUGUACACACCGCCCGUCACACCAUGAGAGUUUGUAACACCCAAAGUCGGUGGGGUAACCUUUUAGGAGCCAGCCG
rnacentral:rRNA from 1 species